GGAAUCUAAAAUCCCACAGCAAACAGCCUGCCUGUGGUCGGAUCACGUUGGCAGCCAGCUUCGAGAGAUUUUGCCGUGUACUGCAAAACAAAUUACUCGGGUCACUUCUCAAAUCCGGUCGACGCGCGAAUUGCGAUCGCAGAGUAUCCGCGUUUCGGUCGUGCAAAUACAUUAUAUAUUACUAUUACUACGUAUACAGGGUGUUCCACGAUGAUCUG